rnacentral:tRNA from 1 species
AAUGAAAUGCCUGAUAAAAGGGUUAUUUUGAUAGAAUAAAUUAUGUAAAUUAUUUACGUUCAUUA